rnacentral:rRNA from 1 species
GUGGGGAAUAUUGGACAAUGGGCGAAAGCCUGAUCCAGCCAUGCCGCGUGUGUGAAGAAGGUCUUCGGAUUGUAAACUGCUUUUGUACGGAACGAAAAGACUCUGGUUAAUACCUGGGGUCCAUGACGGUACCGUAAGAAUAAGCACCGGCUAACUACGUGCCAGCAGCCGCGGUAAUACGUAGGGUGCAAGCGUUAAUCGGAAUUACUGGGCGUAAAGCGUGCGCAGGCGGUUAUAUAAGACAGAUGUGAAAUCCCCGGGCUCAACCUGGGAACUGCAUUUGUGACUGUAUAGCUAGAGUGCGGCAGAGGGGGAUGGAAUUCCGCGUGUAGCAGUGAAAUGCGUAGAUAUGCGGAGGAACACCGAUGGCGAAGGCAAUCCCCUGGGCCUGCACUGACGCUCAUGCACGAAAGCGUGGGGAGCAAACAGGAUUAGAUACCCCUGUAGUCC